rnacentral:rRNA from 1 species
UACGAAGGGUGCAAACAUUGCUCGGAAUCAUUGGGCGUAAAGCGCACGUAGGCGGCCUUGCAAGUCGGAUGUGAAAUCCCACGGCUCAACCGUGGACGUGCAUCCGAAACUGCUCGGCUCGAGUAUGGAAGAGGGUCGCGGAAUUCCCGAUGUAGAGGUGAAAUUCGUAGAUAUCGGGAGGAACACCAAUGGCGAAGGCGGCGACCUGGGCCAAUACUGACGCUGAGGUGCGAAAGCGUGGGGAGCAAACAGG